UGCAAGUCGAACGGACGAGAAGGAAAGUUUACUGGAAUUCGAGUUAGUGGCGGACGGGCGAGUAACGCGUGAGCAACCUGCCUUUCAGUGGGGAAUAACGUUUGGAAACGAACGCUAAUACCGCAUAACAUAUUUUGUAGGCAUCUACGAGAUAUCAAAGGAGCAAUUCGCUGAGAGAUGGGCUCGCGUCCGAUUAGCUAGUUGGUGGGGUAACGGCCCACCAAGGCGACGAUCGGUAGCCGAACUGAGAGGUUGAUCGGCCGCAUUGGGACUGAGACACGGCCCAGACUCCUACGGGAGGCAGCAGUGGGGGAUAUUGCACAAUGGAGGAAACUCUGAUGCAGCAACGCCGCGUGAGGGAAGAAGGUCUUCGGAUUGUAAACCUAAGUUGUCAGGGACGAAGGAAAUGACGGUACCUGAAGAGAAAGCUCCGGCUAACUACGUGCCAGCAGCCGCGGUAAUACGUAGGGAGCGAGCGUUGUCCGGAUUUACUGGGUGUAAAGGGUGCGUAGGCGGGUUUGCAAGUCAGGCGUGAAAUACCGAGGCUCAACUUCGGGGCUGCGCUUGAAACUGUAGAUCUUGAGUGAAGUAGAGGCAAGCGGAAUUCCUAGUGUAGCGGUGAAAUGCGUAGAUAUUAGGAGGAACACCAGUGGCGAAGGCGGCUUGCUGGGCUUUAACUGACGCUGAGGCACGAAAGCAUGGGGAGCAAACAGGAUUAGAUACCCUGGUAGUCCAUGCCGUAAACGAUGAUAACUAGGUGUGGGGGGACUGACCCCUUCCGUGCCGGAGUAAACACAAUAAGUUAUCCACCUGGGGAGUACGACCGCAAGGUUGAAACUCAAAGGAAUUGACGGGGGCCCGCACAAGCAGUGGAGUAUGUGGUUUAAUUCGAAGCAACGCGAAGAACCUUACCAGGUCUUGACAUCCGACUAACGAAACAGAGAUGUAUCAGGUGCCCUUCGGGGAAAGUCGAGACAGGUGGUGCAUGGUUGUCGUCAGCUCGUGUCGUGAGAUGUUGGGUUAAGUCCCGCAACGAGCGCAACCCUUGUCAUUAGUUGCUACGCAAGAGCACUCUAAUGAGACUGCCGUUGACAAAACGGAGGAAGGUGGGGACGACGCCAAAUCAUCAUGCCCCUUAUGACCUGGGCUACACACGUACUACAAUGGCCGCAAACAGAGGGAAGCAAGGGAGCGAUCCGGAGCAAACCCCUAAAAGCGGUCCCAGUUCAGAUUGCAGGCUGCAACUCGCCUGUAUGAAGUCGGAAUUGCUAGUAAUCGCGGAUCAGCAUGCCGCGGUGAAUACGUUCCCGGGCCUUGUACACACCGCCCGUCACACCAUGGGAGCCGGUAAUACCCGAAGUCAGUAGCCCAACCAUUCAGGAGGGCGCUGCCGA
rnacentral:rRNA from 1 species